rnacentral:tRNA from 1 species
GAUAGCUCAGUCGGUAGAGCAUGAGACACUUAAUCUCAGGGUCAUAGGUUUGAGUCCCACGUCG